UCAAGACAAAGCCAAACCUGUCGCGAGAUAGGGACGGAGAGCCACGGGUCUCAUAGGGGCACUCUUGAUACCUCAUAGAGAUAGCCGAGCUGCCUUU
rnacentral:ncRNA from 1 species